rnacentral:rRNA from 1 species
UACGUAGGUGGCAAGCGUUGUCCGGAUUUACUGGGCGUAAAGAGCGCGCAGGCGGUCGUUCAAGUCGCGUGUGAAAGCCCCCGGCUCAACUGGGGAGGGUCACGCGAUACUGAUCGACUCGAAGGCAGGAGAGGGUAGUGGAAUUCCCGGUGUAGUGGUGAAAUGCGUAGAUAUCGGGAGGAACACCGAUUGCGAAGGCAGCUCGCUGGGACGUAACUGACGCUGAGACGCGAAAGCGUGGGGAGCAAACAGG